AUUGAACGCUGGCGGCAUGCCUUACACAUGCAAGUCGAACGGCAGCACGGGUGCUUGCACCUGGUGGCGAGUGGCGAACGGGUGAGUAAUACAUCGGAACGUACCUUAUCGUGGGGGAUAACGCAGCGAAAGUUGCGCUAAUACCGCAUACGCCCUGAGGGGGAAAGCGGGGGAGCGUAAGGCCUCGCGCGAUUAGAGCGGCCGAUGUCUGAUUAGCUUGUUGGUGAGGUAAAAGCUCACCAAGGCGAUGAUCAGUAGCUGGUUUGAGAGGACGGUCAGCCACACUGGGACUGAGACACGGCCCAGACUCCUACGGGAGGCAGCAGUGGGGAAUUUUGGACAAUGGGGGCAACCCUGAUCCAGCAAUGCCGCGUGAGUGAAGAAGGCCUUCGGGUUGUAAAGCUCUUUUGUCAGGGAAGAAACAGCAGCUCUAACACAGUCUGCGAAUGACGGUACCUGAAGAAUAAGCACCGGCUAACUACGUGCCAGCCGCCGCCGUAA
rnacentral:rRNA from 1 species